rnacentral:rRNA from 1 species
UACAGAGGUGGCAAGCGUUGUUCGGAAUUACUGGGCGUAAAGGGCGCGUAGGCGGCUUUUUAAGUCAGACGUGAAAUCCCCCGGCUUAACCUGGGAACUGCGUCUGAUACUGGGAAGCUUGAGUUCGGGAGAGGGAUGUAGAAUUCCAGGUGUAGCGGUGAAAUGCGUAGAUAUCUGGAGGAACACCGAUUGCGAAGGCAGCUCGCUGGAACGUUACUGACGCUGAGACGCGAAAGCGUGGGGAGCAAACAGG